rnacentral:rRNA from 1 species
UACGAAGGGGGCUAGCGUUGUUCGGAAUUACUGGGCGUAAAGCGCGCGUAGGCGGCUUUGUAAGUUAGAGGUGAAAGCCCGGAGCUCAACUCCGGAACUGCCUUUAAAAACUGCAUCGCUUGAAUCCAGGAGAGGUGAGUGGAAUUCCGAGUGUAGAGGUGAAAUUCGUAGAUAUUCGCAAGAACACCAGUGGCGAAGGCGGCUCACUGGUCCGGUACUGACGCUGAGGUGCGAAAGCGUGGGGAGCAAACAGG